GGUUUGCUGGCGCAGUUGGUAGCGCAUUCGCUUCACAGAGAGGUCGUCGGUUCGAGCCCGGCGUGAACCA